AUGACAGAGCCAUAUUGGGCUUCAGGAUGAUGACUGCAAGGUUCUGCACAGUGUUUUGAUCCCAGUGCUUGCUACGGCAGCAGUCACACAAAUGCUAAUCCUGAUUUUGGCUCUGAACAGGGAGUACCCUUUCACCAGUUUCCACCAAGCUAUGCUCCCUCUGAAGGUUUGUCUGCACCAUAUUAUCAGCCUGUUGAACAGAUGGCGCCUGCUGUUCAGCGUCAACCAGCAGCACGUGUUGGUUCGGCUUCCACUGGGUCUGUUUCAUCAGGCCGUGGCCGCGGUUCGUUGACCCCUAACCCGGCGAGGUACACCCAAACAGGACCUGCUUUUCAAACUGGCCCACAAGAGGUCCAUUGGGCUGUUAAUCCACCCAGUCUCCUCCGUGGAAGAGAAGACAUGCCAACUGACAGUUUCGUUGUGGUUAAGUAAAGCUGAGAAUCUAAGUCCACCUGGGCCAGUGUACCAGGCAGGGGAAUUGUCCCACUUUGAGGAAAGCUUGGAGCAUGGAGACUCCGAGAGAGAAACGGAACAGCAGGGCUACAUGCCACCACCUCCAAUGCAGAAUUCUGCCAGACAAGGAUUCCCCAGCCAGCCUCAUCCUGAGUCUGAACUGGGUGGAACCUGGGGUGCUUAUCCUUAUGCUAACAUAAGGACAGUAUCCUCCAGGCACUUUCACUCACUACUGCAGCAGCUAUGAGCAAGGAAGGGACAACUGGCAAGAUGGUCACUACAUGAGACACUAUCCUCCCUACAAUCCUGAACCUGUACAGAAGAUUCAGCCCUUCACUGACUUAGAAGCCCCCCAAAGCUUUAGGGGGCCAAUGCCACCUGCAAAGAGCCCCAUGGUGGCACGUUAUUGCCAAGUGGCUCAGCCUAUGCCCCAAACAUCUUCUCAUGCCAGCGUUAUGCAUCCAGGUCGUUUUGAAGCUCCAUCCCAGCAGUUGUCUCUUAACAUGGCCAAGGUAUGUGACUACAUUUGCAUGAUGAGUGUGGGGUCAUUUAAUAAU